UUGAACGCUGGCGGCAUGCUUUACACCUGCCAGUCGAACGGCAGCGCGGGCUUCGGCCUGGCGGCGAGUGGCGAACGGGUGAGUAAUGCAUCGGAACGUGCCCAGUAGUGGGGGAUAGCCCGGCGAAAGCCGGAUUAAUACCGCAUACGACCUGAGGGUGAAAGCGGGGGACCGAAAGGCCUCGCGCUAUUGGAGCGGCCGAUGUCGGAUUAGCUAGUUGGUGGGGUAAAGGCUUACCAAGGCGACGAUCCGUAGCUGGUCUGAGAGGACGACCAGCCACACUGGGACUGAGACACGGCCCAGACUCCUACGGGAGGCAGCAGUGGGGAAUUUUGGACAAUGGGGGCAACCCUGAUCCAGCCAUGCCGCGUGCGGGAAGAAGGCCUUCGGGUUGUAAACCGCUUUUGUUCGGGAAGAAAUCCUCUGGGCUAAUACCCCGGGGGGAUGACGGUACCGGAAGAAUAAGCACCGGCUAACUACGUG
rnacentral:rRNA from 1 species